ensembl:snoRNA
UGCCACAGUCAAGUCAAAUUCAGACCCCAUUCUCAUUGUACUGGGAACUGGCCCAAAUGGGGGCCACAUGCCCUGGGACCUGGGGGUAAAUUUGGCUGCAGACAGAG